rnacentral:rRNA from 1 species
AUUGAACGCUAGCGGCAUGCUUAACACAUGCAAGUCGAACGGCAGCGCGAGGAGCUUGCUCCUUGGCGGCGAGUGGCGGACGGGUGAGUAAUGCGUAGGAAUCUGCCUCGUAGUGGGGGACAACCCGGGGAAACUCGGGCUAAUACCGCAUAAUCUCUACGGAGCAAAGAGGGGGACCUUCGGGCCUCUCGCUGUGAGAUGAGCCUACGUCGGAUUAGCUUGUUGGUGGGGUAAAGGCCUACCAAGGCGACGAUCCGUAGCUGGUCUGAGAGGACGAUCAGCCACACUGGGACUGAGACACGGCCCAGACUCCUACGGGAGGCAGCAGUGGGGAAUAUUGGACAAUGGGCGCAACCCUGAUCCAGCCAUGCCGCGUGUGUGAAGAAGGCCUUCGGGUUGUAAAGCACUUUCAGUAGGGAAGAAAUGCCUAGGGUUAAUACCCUUGGGUCUUGACGGUACCUACAGAAGAAGCACCGGCUAAUUCCGUG